rnacentral:rRNA from 1 species
ACGAACGCUGGCGGCACGCUUAACACAUGCAAGUCGAACGAGAGAAGAGGAGCUUGCUUUUCUGAUCUAGUGGCGGACGGGUGAGUAACACGUGAGCAAUCUGCCUUUCAGAGGGGGAUACCGAUUGGAAACGAUCGUUAAUACCGCAUAACAUAAUUGAACCGCAUGAUUUGAUUAUCAAAGAUUUAUCGCUGAAAGAUGAGCUCGCGUCUGAUUAGCUAGUUGGUAAGGUAACGGCUUACCAAGGCGACGAUCAGUAGCCGGACUGAGAGGUUGAUCGGCCACAUUGGGACUGAGACACGGCCCAGACUCCUACGGGAGGCAGCAGUGGGGAAUAUUGCACAAUGGAGGAAACUCUGAUGCAGCGAUGCCGCGUGAGGGAAGAAGGUUUUAGGAUUGUAAACCUCUGUCUUCAGGGACGAAAAAUGACGGUACCUGAGGAGGAAGCUCCGGCUAACUACGUGCCAGCAGCCGCGGUAAUACGUAGGGAGCGAGCGUUGUCCGGAAUUACUGGGUGUAAAGGGAGCGUAGGCGGGAUCGCAAGUCAGAUGUGAAAACUAUGGGCUUAACCCAUAAACUGCAUUUGAAACUGUGGUUCUUGAGUGAAGUAGAGGUAAGCGGAAUUCCUAGUGUAGCGGUGAAAUGCGUAGAUAUUAGGAGGAACAUCAGUGGCGAAGGCGGCUUACUGGGCUUUAACUGACGCUGAGGCUCGAAAGCGUGGGGAGCAAACAGGAUUAGAUACCCUGGUAGUCCACGCCGUAAACGAUGAUUACUAGGUGUGGGGGGACUGACCCCUUCCGUGCCGCAGCAAACGCAAUAAGUAAUCCACCUGGGGAGUACGACCGCAAGGUUGAAACUCAAAGGAAUUGACGGGGGCCCGCACAAGCAGUGGAGUAUGUGGAUUAAUUCGAAGCAACGCGAAGAACCUUACCAGGUCUUGACAUCGUAUGCAUAGCUCAGAGAUGAGUGAAAUCUCUUCGGAGACAUAUAGACAGGUGGUGCAUGGUUGUCGUCAGCUCGUGUCGUGAGAUGUUGGGUUAAGUCCCGCAACGAGCGCAACCCUUACUGUUAGUUGCUACGCAAGAGCACUCUAGCAGGACUGCCGUUGACAAAGCGGAGGAAGGUGGGGAUGACGUCAAAUCAUCAUGCCCCUUAUGACCUGGGCCUCACACGUACUACAAUGGCUGUCAACAGAGGGAAGCAAAGCCGCGAGGUGGAGCAAACCCCUAAAAGCAGUCUUAGUUCGGAUUGUAGGCUGCAACCCGCCUACAUGAAGUCGGAAUUGCUAGUAAUCGCAGAUCAGCAUGCUGCGGUGAAUACGUUCCCGGGCCUUGUACACACCGCCCGUCACGCCAUGGGAGUCGGUAACACCCGAAGCCUGUAGUCUAACCGCAAGGAGGACGCAGUCGAAGGUGGGAUUGAUGACUGGGGUG